rfam:Colletotrichum sublineola strain TX430BB Scaffolds1235.1, whole genome shotgun sequence.
GGUUGUGUAGUGUAGUGGUCAUCACUCCGGAUUUUGAUCUCUGAAUCACGCCUUCCGGCAACCCCGGUUCGAACCCGGGCACGACCU